GGGCCCGCACAAGCGGUGGAGCAUGUGGUUUAAUUCGAUGAUACGCGAGGAACCUUACCAGGGCUUAAAUGUAGAUUGCAUUAGCUAGAGAUAGCUAUUUCUUCGGACUAUCUACAAGGUGCUGCAUGGUUGUCGUCAGCUCGUGCCGUGAGGUGUCAGGUUAAGUCCUAUAACGAGCGCAACCCCUGUUGUUAGUUGCCAGCGAGUCAAGUCGGGAACUCUAACAAGACUGCCAGUGCAAACUGUGAGGAAGGUGGGGAUGACGUCAAAUCAUCACGGCCCUUACGUCCUGGCUACACACGUGCUACAAUGGUAGGGACAGAGAGCAGCCACUGGGCGACCAGGAGCAAA
rnacentral:rRNA from 1 species